UACGUGAGGUGCAAGCGUUGUCCGGAAUUAUUGGGCGUAAAGGAGCUACGUAGGCGGGUUUGGUCGCGUUCUGCUGUGGAAACUCAGGGCUUAACUCUGAGCUUGCAGUGGGUACGGGCAGACUAGAGUGCGGUAGGGGAGACUGGAAUUCCUGGUGUAGACGGUGAAAUGCGCAGAUAUCAGGAAGAACACCAAUGGCGAAGGCAGCUCUCUGGGACGGUACUGGACGCU
rnacentral:rRNA from 1 species